rnacentral:tRNA from 1 species
GUCGGGGUGGCCGAGCGGUCUAAGGCGUCAGAUUCCAGAGUAAUCUUCUAGGUGUUCUGGUACACGAUGUGGGCGCGGGUUCGAAUCCCACCUCGGACA